ACAGAUUUUAUAGAUGCAAAUAUCAGAAAGGUAUCGAUUACAUCUUUGGGUUUGGAAUGAGAAACUUGGUUUGCACAAAGCAGUUACAGAAGCGAAAUUGAGCAAGUUAGUUAUCUAUAAAGAUUAAGUAUAGUUUUGGGUCUAGGGAUCAUUAUAUUGU